rnacentral:tRNA from 1 species
GCCCGGGUGGCGUAACUGGCAACCGCGGUCGACUUAAAAUCGGCUGCCCGCAAGGGCAUGUGGGUUCGAGUCCCACCCCGGGCA